rnacentral:lncRNA from 1 species
CCAUCCAUACCUUUGUGAUUUGAGCCUCAGUCAUUGACCAGCUCUUCGAAAAGUGAUAACCAUGGCCAGCAGGAACCUGACAGUAGUUACAGCCAUUAGUCUGUAUCAUUGAAAGCAAAACCCCACAGAAACUAUUUAUUAGGUUUUACUGAAAAUAGCAAGCUGCAGGAAGAAUUUAGGAUAGAAGAGGAAUUAUAACCAGAGUGGCUUUCAUAAUGGAGCAUUUGAUACUUGGAAGCACAGUGUAGAGAAUGGGAUGGAAAAUAAGUCCAGCUCUUCUGGGUGACCACGAGGAGAGGAGCACAAGAGUCCUAAAUCCACUUUGGAUGCAAAAGAUGAGUGAUGGACCCUGGGUCCCCCAGGACUGACCUACAUGGACAGUUCCCUGAGCAAGGAAGGAGACAUUUCCUACAAAACUGUGUUCAAGAUCUGCUUUCAUUUGAACCUGUCCUGAAGUCAAAGAAGUUAAUGUGGCUUUAUCUGAGAGCAGAAUUUUGUCUAAAAUCUUCAUUACAUGCCAAUUCCACCAGGAUAAUUCAUAGUUAAGGCCUCUGAACAAAUUUAAAAUAAUCCUCUUUUGCUUCAUAUAAUGAAUAGAAUAGAUGGAAUUGCUUUCACAGACUUUCUGAGGAAAUUGAAGCAAUGUGUUAAAGUUUUAACAGUUUUUAUUUCUCUUUUCAGAUCUUAACCCAGUAUCAAAUAUUAAUGUCCUAAUAUGUUUAAGGAAAGCUGAAGUUGCUGUUAUAAUUAAUUUCGUAUCUGAGGAAAAAAAAGAAAAAAGUAUUGCUAACCACUUUUGGAAAGAAUUACACCAGCUCAGUUGAAAGCUUGUACAGAUCACCUGAAACAGCAUGCAAUAAUUUCAUGAAAUCGUACUGGAAGAGGAAAAGGACAAUUUCACAGCAAAGGGCUCACCAUUCCAGACCACAUUCAUUUUGCCUAAAUCUGGCCAAAGAAGGACUGUGCAUGAUUAGUAUAUACAAUAGCAUUUGGUCCUGGGCCAAGCUCUCCUCCACCCAAUACCAGCACUGCUCAAUGUUGCGGUUUUUGUUAACCCACUUCUUCCAUUCUCCUCUCAGCUUUACAAAACAGAUGGAAGGCACUGGGUGCUGGCUUGGCUUCUUCUGACAAGGCCGUGCCAAAGUCAGGUUGGCAAGCACUGUGAAUCAUCUCUUUUGAUCCCUACAUGCUUUUAUAGAACAAAUUGGAAAAGCAACAUCCAUGAGGAAAUACAUGAAGAUCUAACCCAUCCUGUGUGAAAAUAUUAAUUUCAUAAUAAGAGUUUGAAAUUUUGGGACAAAAUUGCCUUCUCUCAUAUCAGACUGAACAAAGCAGCUAUGUCCAGAGAUAUGCUUCCCUAUGAAAAGGAAAAUUAAUCUUCACAUUUUUAUUUAUGGAGGACAAGUUGGUACUUACAUGGGCAUACUGUAAUACCAGCAUUGAGAUGCAACCAGACCAGGCUCCCCUCCAGUCUGUUCUCUGAGCCCAGCCAUCUCUCGAGAAGCCUUGAUCCAUCCAUAAAGGUGUGAUCACCACCUGAGGUUGAGCAUCUCACCAGCUUGGUCCAGCUCUGCCUGCAGAAAUGUUGCAGAAUGCGUCUCAGCCAGGAACAGUUCCCACCACUUCCCAUCAAAGCAUCCUCCCAUCAACAGAGGAGCCAGGAGGAGAAGAAGAGCUCCUUGAUAUAAAAUAGCAGAAGCUCUUUUUGCUCCACUCCUCAGUCUGUUCUGUGCUUCUUUCAGGUAGGGCGAGUCCUGCCGUUUCACUGCGAAUGCUCUGUAUAGAAAGAAUAUGUGCAUUAAAUUGCCUCCGUGACCAUGUAUGACUCCUACUCUACAAAUAAAUGGGAAUAGAUAGCUCCCUUCCCUCAGGAACUUCUGUCUGCAGAAAACUGUGGAUCUCUGGGAUAUGCAGAUGAAACAUCUCUUUCUCUCCACCAAGAUAUGAAAGCAGAGAGCUCCUUCCCCUUCUGAGCUUCAGGCCAAGGGGCUCCGACACACACCGAGCAAAUGGGAAGAUGUGUGAUUAGGUAACUUCCAAACUUCAGAAACAUUUCCAUUUCAAAUUCUGACUUCCUGCCAUGCACAUACUCUUCUGUAACCAGGCUCUGAGGCAAUUUAUUAACAACUCCAGAGGAGUGAUAUCUGCAGAAUCUGUUUUUCAGCUUUUGACAGCUGAGCAGGGCUAAUGUUCCUGUUCCAGAGUGCCGUCGCGGGAGCAGUGCAUAUUCUGUAUAUUCAAUGAAGAAGUGUCCUUUGAAGGUGUAAAUGAAAUAGCUUAUCUGAAGUAAAGAGAUAAAAAAUCAAUUUAAAACAUUUUAGAUUGUUUAUCAGCAUGUUGGAAAAAAAAUACUAGAUUGACCAGCCUUUACAAAGAAGGUUUUAAACCACAAGCUACCAGUACUUCUAGGUUGCAUUUCCUGAUCGCUAAGUUAAACAUUUCAAUGGAUAGCACUGCAUUUCAGAAAAAUAAAUUAAAAAUAAAUAAAUAAACAGUAGAAUAAA